rnacentral:lncRNA from 1 species
GCCGCGGUAGCCAGUGACCUGCUGACACUGGGGUACGAUGCCCUCCCAGAGGGGGCGUCUCGGGGCCCCGCGUGUGCGGACUUCAGGGCGCUGUGCGCGCGACUGGCGGCGGAGCUGACGACUCUGGGAGCUGUGGAGCGGCGAGAGGAGGGCACCGCGGUUCUCGGCGCCGGCCACGGCCCGGACGCAGAGGAAGAGUUCCUGCGGCAGUUGGCUGGCCUGCUGCGGGCGUUGCACUGCCCGGAUCGCGCGCUCUGCGGCGGAGACUGCGCCACCAUGCUGCGGGAGCCCGGUGGCGGCCUGCGCCUGCUGCGUGAGCAAGCCGGAAAGGCGCGGGGGAGGCGGCGGUGGGCGGGGCCCCUGAAGGGGGCGGGCUCGCACUCUGAGACUGGACUCUCAGGGGCGUGGCCAAAGCUUUGUGCUGAGCUUGAAGGCCACAGCUAGAGAGACUGGUUCGGGCUGGGUUAGAAUUCUGACUAGGGCCUCUGAAAGCUUUAAUGCGUUGAGUUAAACGCCAGUCGGUUGGUUCUGAAGUGGACUCACACCCUCCAGUGUAAGCGGAUGAGGCUUACUCUGGGGGAGGGGCCAAGGUUCUGGUUGGGCAUUGACCUACUCCUAUUUCUAG